UCUUUAGUGGCGGACGGGUGAGUAACGCGUGGGUAACCUGCCUUGCACUGGGGGAUAACACUUAGAAAUAGGUGCUAAUACCGCAUAAGCGCACAGGGCCGCAUGGUCCGGUGUGAAAAAUUCCGGUGGUGCAAGAUGGGCCCGCGUCUGAUUAGCUGGUUGGUGGGGUAAAGGCCCACCAAGGCGACGAUCAGUAGCCGGCCUGAGAGGGUGGACGGCCACAUUGGGACUGAGACACGGCCCAAACUCCUACGGGAGGCAGCAG
rnacentral:rRNA from 1 species